GGUAAUGUCAACAACCUACCGAUCAGAGGUUUGACAUCUGUUUGUAUAUUCUAAGAUUUUCAUUUAGAAAACUAAAUUCAUUGCUUCAGAUCGUUCAUUAAAUCAAAAUUCAUUGUCAUUUAAUCAGUAUUUUAAGCAAUGAAGAUCUAUAAAUAGAUUUGUUUUUAUUUUUCUGUUUUGGUUAUUUAUGCAUAGUACGCAUUUGUACGCGUUCUUCAUGCAUCGUAAUAAGUUAAUUUAUUAUUAAAGAAGCAUGUGGCAAAUUCAUAACUUCCUCCUUUUUAUCAUAAAAUAUUUCCGCUGUUUUUUUACUUCUUUAUGUGCAAUUUGUCUCAUAUUUAUUGGAUAUUCAUUUCUCUUCGCAUCAUCAAAAAUACAAUCUGUGUCUUCACCUACCUGUGAUUUUUACUUGCCUAGAGUAAAAAUAUUUGGUGUUAAGAAUGGAGAGAAGACUCUAGCCAUUGUUGAAACUGUUUUCCGUGACCUUGGGUAUACUGUCCAAACUAAUGAUAGCCUGAAUUGGGAUGUUUUAUGGUCAUAUACAUAUCCUUUUUAUGUAUUGGAGAAGGAAUUAUCUUCUUUGAAGUCUUAUCAAAAGGUAAAUCAUUUUCCAGGAAGUGGGUUUAUCACUCAAAAGUCUAAUCUUGCUUCUCUGAAGCUGAAUAAUAUUCCAAAAUCUUUCAUUCUACCAAUUGAUAAAGAGCAUUUUAUUGAGUAUGCACAAAAAAAUCAAAAUAAGUCUUGGAUCAUGAAAAGUUCUACUCAUCGAUUUAUGCAUAUAGUUAACCUAACUUCAAAUUUAGACGAGAAUGGAGUUUUUAUUCAAGAAUUUAUUCAAAAUCCUUUAUUAAUUAAUAACAAAAAAUUUGAUAUUGGUGUUUAUGUCAUACUUACAAGCAUCAAUCCUUUACGUGUUUAUAUCUAUUCGGGAGAUAUUUUGCUUAGGUUUUGCAAAAAAGACUACUAUCCUCUGAAUUUAUCAUCGCCUGAAUCUUACAUUGUUGGAGAUGAUUAUUUACCAAUUUGGGAAGUACCUGAUUUGCAGUUUUAUUUCUCAGAAUUAAAUUACACAGCAAAAGAAUCAUUGAAUGCGUAUCUCCUAAAACAAGGUAUGGAUGUGAAAAAAAUGUGGCUUCAAAUUCAUGAGGCUAUUCAAGAUGUUUAUUAUGAAACAGAAGAUAAUUUAAAGUACAGUUCUUCAAUGUUCUCAAAUAAAAGAAAUUUCUUCGAAUUAGUGAGGUUUGACUUUAUAGCAGAUGCAGAACUUAAUGUGCAUCUUUUGGAGGUAAAUAUGUCACCAAAUCUUUCACCAGCUCACUUUUCUCAAAACGCUUUGUUGUAUGAACAAAUUGUUUUAAGCACAUUGAACAUUGCUGGCUUUGUCAGAAAGUUUCCUACAGUAGCACAAUACAGUUGAAGAUACGAGUUUAAAAAAAUCAAGCCUGAUGUUUGUUGCAUACAUUUCUUGUACAGUGGAGAAGCAGAAGUAUCUGAGAAAGACCUUAAUGUAUUUCCUGAACAGUGUUCUUCUCAAAUUUGUUUUGCAUCAUGUAAGGCUUUGCACUGCAAGGUUUGCACUCAAUGUUUGACUGAUGAUAUCAAAGGAGUCUUCAAAACUGCUUAUGAGGAAUUUAUUAACCGAGGAAAAUAUCGGAGACUAAUACCACCACCAUCUGUAGAAAAGCAGGAUCAAAGAAAUAAAAGAUUCUUAAAAUUUUCGAUCGUGAAUUCUCUGAUGGCCAUUUGGUUUGAAGGAAAGUGC
rnacentral:misc_RNA from 1 species